UACGUAGGGUGCAAGCGUUAAUCGGAAUUACUGGGCGUAAAGCGUGCGCAGGCGGUUUUGUAAGUCUGUCGUGAAAUCCCCGGGCUCAACCUGGGAAUGGCGAUGGAUACUGGCGAGCUAGAGUGUGUCAGAGGAUGGUGGAAUUUCCGGUGGAGCGGUGAAAUGCAUUGAGAUCGGAAAGAACACCAACGGCGAAAGCACUCUGCUGGGCCGACACUGACACUGAGAGACGAAAGCUAGGGGAGCAAAUGGG
rnacentral:rRNA from 1 species